CCUCUCCCUCUCCCCACGGUCUCCCUCUCCCUCUCUUUCCACGGUCUCCCUCUCAUGCUGAGCCGAAGCUGGACUGUACUGCUGCCAUCUCGGCUCACUGCAACCUCCCUGCCUGAUUCUCCUGACUCAGCCUGCCGAGUGCCUGCGAUUGCAGGCUCGGGCCGCCACGCCUGACUGGUUUUGGUGGAGACGGGGUUUCGCUGUGUUGGCCAGGCCGGUCUCCAGCCCCUAACCGCAAGUGAUCCGCCAGCCUCGGCCUCCCGAGGUGCCGGGAUUGCAGACGGAGUCUGGUUCACUCAGUGCUCAAUGGUGCCCAGGCUGGAGUGCAGUGGCGUGAUCUCGGCUCGCUACAACCUCCACCUCCCAGCCGCCUGCCUUGGCCUCCCAAAGUGCCAAGAUUGCAGCCUCUGCCCAGCUGCCACCCCGUCUGGGAAGUGAGGAGCGUCUCUGCCUGGCCGCCCAUCGUCUGGGAUGUGAGGAGCCCCUCUGCCUGGCUGCCCAGUCUGGAAAGUGAGGAGCGUCUCCGCCCGGCCGCCAUCCCACCUAGGAAGUGAGGAGCACCUCUUCCUCGCCGCCAUCCCAUCUAGGAAGUGAGGAGCGUCUCUGCCCAGCCGCCCAUCGUCUGAGAUGUGGGGAGCGCCUCUGCCCCGCCACCCCGUCUGGGAUGUGAGGAGCACCUCUGCCCGGCUGCGACCCCGUCUGGGAGGUGAGGAGCAUCUCUGCCCGGCCGCCCCGUCUGAGAAGUGAGGAGACCCUCUGCCCGGCAACCGCCCCGUCUGAGAAGUGAGGAGCCCCUCCGCCCGGCAGCCGCCCCGUCUGAGAAGUGAGGAGCCUCUCCGCCCGACAGCCACCCAGUCUGGGAAGUGGAACUCAUCCAAUCAGCUGAAGGUCUUAAUAGAAAAAAGACUGACCUCCCUUGAGUAAGAAGAAAUUCUACCACAAGACUGCCUCAAGACUCAAACUGCAGCUCUUCCCUCAAGAUGAAGACUCAAAGUGCAGUCUCCAACAUGGGGCCUACCCCAUCAGACUUUCAACUCUCCAAGCCUCCAUCGUGUGAGCCAAUUCCUUAAAAUAAAUUUUUCUCUAUAUAUAGCUUGUUGGCUCUUUUUCUCUGGAUAAUCCUAGUUAUUGCAAUAUACAUAUAAUUUUUUUCUGAACCAUUUGAGAGUCACGUUUAGCUUUCAUGCCCUUUACCCAAAAAUACUUCAGUUUCUAUUUUCUGAAAAAAAAAAAAAAAAAUUCUCUUACAUAACCAAAGUACAAUUAUCAAAAUCAGAAAAUUUUACAUUGAUAAAAUAUUAGUCCAUAUUUCAACUUAAAUUUAAAAUUUACCAAUUGUCCAAAUGUUCUUUCGGAGCAAUUUUAAACAUCCUAAUCCAGUAGCAUGUAUUGCAUUUAGGUGUCAUUUCCUUUCUGUUUCUUUCAGCCUGGAACCAGUUCCUCAGACUUCUUUGUAACACGAACAUUUUAGAAGACAAUUGGUCAGUUAUUUGUAGUAUGUCCCUAAUUUGGGUUUGUCUCAUGC
rnacentral:lncRNA from 10 species